rnacentral:lncRNA from 1 species
GAAGAGAAGUAAAAAAUCGUUCACAAAUUAUUGAUACACUAUAAGACCCUGCACGUCUCACCCUGUACAUGGAGACCACGCAAGAUCUGAGCUCAAUGCUAGAUGCUCCCACUUUAAGGAGUCUCCAUUUAAGGUCCAAUGCGACUGAACAGAAAGGAUAUGAAGAAGAGUGGCCCAGAUUUCUAGGAAAUAAGAAUGAAACCCUUCCAGUACUGUGAUGUCUUUGAGUUGAAUCAAAUCAUAGUUGAGAGUUCUAGGCCCUUCAUGACAUUUAUCUGAUUUGGAGGCAAGGACUUUCACGCCUCAUAUUGUACUUUAUGGUAUUUGCAGGGCUGGAAGAUGAAUGGUGACUCAGCUGAGAAGAGACUGGUGAUCUUUUUAUCAUGAAAAUGAUUGUGGAAAGGGCUUUAGGGGUCCCAACUUUUUAUAUUGACUGUGAAGGACAGUUCGUGCUUGGUUUUCUGCAGCAUAGAGAGCUCGGGACACAGCAGGUGCAAGGAGGUUCCAGGACUGAAAGCUUUGGUGCUUCUCAUGGCUUGGAUAUCUCAGUGCCUUGGGUAAAGAAGAUGAAGGACCCUCCCUCGCUCAGGCUUUAGGAGCAGGAGCAAACUGAUGGCCCUAGUAUAAAAGGCUAGUGAAGUCUGCAGAGUUCCUGAGCGAGAAGGAUCUCUGAAAGCAUCUUGUUUCACAGAAGCUUCUUCUGUUCCUGGAAAGGGCUCUGGGGAAUCCAGGGAUCAGUGGUCCUGAUGAUCCCUGGGAGAAGGAUGCUCUGUUCCGGGAGAGUGUUCUGAGAGACCCUUCUGCAAAGCCGAAGUGCUGCAGAAGCCAUUCUUUCACGAGAGAUGCAGCACACAGUUCAGUCAAGAUUUGGUCUGCAAAAAAGCCUCCAAGGGAAAAUGGGCUCUUCGAAUAUUUGCUUUCACAGCUAGUCAUUUUUUUAUGUUUUAAAAUUCUUUGACAGUUUCAUAUAUGUAUAAUAAAUUUUGAUAAUUUUUA